rnacentral:rRNA from 1 species
AACGAACGCUGGCGGCAUGCCUAACACAUGCAAGUCGAACGAGACCUUCGGGUCUAGUGGCGCACGGGUGCGUAACGCGUGGGAACCUGCCCUUAGGUUCGGAAUAACUCCCCGAAAGGGGUGCUAAUACCGGAUAAUGUCUUCGGACCAAAGAUUUAUCGCCUUUGGAUGGGCCCGCGUUGGAUUAGCUAGUUGGUAGGGUAAAAGCCUACCAAGGCGACGAUCCAUAGCUGGUCUGAGAGGAUGAUCAGCCACACUGGGACUGAGACACGGCCCAGACUCCUACGGGAGGCAGCAGUGGGGAAUAUAGGACAGUGGGCGAAAGCCUGAUCCAGCAAUGACGGGUGAGUGAUGAAGGCCUUAGGGUUGUAAAGCUCUUUUACCCGGGAUGAUAAUGACAGUACCGGGAGAAUAAGCUCCGGCUAACUCCGUG